CAGUCCCGCACUCUAUAUUUAACAGCUGCCGCAGAGCAGGAGGGGAGGCCGGGAGCAACGGAGGCUCCAGGCUUCCGUCUUUGGAGAGAAGGGCCUCACAGCCAGGCUGGCACCGGCCCUCGCUGGGUGACUGUCACCAUGCCUGCCUCCCAGAGCCGGGCCCGGGCCCGGGACCGCAACAACGUCCUCAACCGGGCCGAGUUCCUGUCCCUGAACCAGCCCCCGAAGGGGGCGCCGGAGCCCCGCAGCUCGGGCAGGAAGGCCUCGGGCCCCUCGGCACAGCCCUCGUGCCCUGGCGAUGGGGCCCGCGAGCGGCGCCAGUCUCAGCAGCUGCCCGAGGAGGACUGCAUGCAGCUGAACCCCUCCUUCAAGGGCAUCGCCUUCAACUCCCUGCUGGCCAUUGACAUCUGCAUGUCCAAGCGCCUGGGGGUGUGCGCCGGCCGGGCUGCGUCCUGGGCCAGCGCCCGCUCCAUGGUCAAGCUCAUUGGCAUCACAGGCCACGGCAUCCCCUGGAUCGGGGGUACCAUCCUCUGCCUGGUGAAAAGCAGCACGCUGGCCGGCCAGGAGGUGCUCAUGAACCUACUUCUGGCCCUGCUCCUGGACAUCAUGACGGUGGCUGGCGUGCAGAAGCUCAUCAAGCGACGCGGCCCGUUUGAGACGAGCCCCGGCCUCCUGGACUACCUCACCAUGGAUGUCUACGCCUUCCCCGCCGGCCACGCCAGCCGCGCGGCCAUGGUCUCCAAGUUCUUCCUCAGCCACCUGGUGCUGGCGGUGCCCCUGCGCGUCUUGCUGGUGCUCUGGGCCCUCUGCGUGGGCCUGUCUCGGGUCAUGAUCGGCCGCCACCACAUCACCGACGUCCUCUCCGGCUUCGUCAUCGGCUACUUCCAGUUCCGCCUGGUCGAGCUGGUCUGGAUGUCCUCCAACACCUGUCAGAUGCUCAUCUCCGCCUGAUCUUAGUUCCUUGACCAGGGAUCAAACCCACGCCCCCUGCAUUGGAAGCACGGAGUCUUAACCACUGGACCACCAGGGCACUCUGUAAGCCGCAGUUUCUUCGUCCAUACGAUGAGAAUCACGUCAGUCUCCUGAUCAGAGAGGCUGGGGACUGUUAACGGUGCGCGUCCACGUGAAGAGGCGGGCGUACACCUGCCGUAUAGUUAGUGCUGAAUCAACAUGUGUGCACGCCUGCGACCCACAGAGAGAGGUUUCCAGGGGUGCCUUCCGGGUACCAGCUCCAUACUUAGCCCUCUGCAAGCAUCCAGCUCACAGCCCUGAGAGGUUGUGUGGGCUUUGCUGCUUCUCAGCCCCAAAAGGUCCGAGAGGUGCCCUUUCUGAUUGACUCAAGUUCAUGGCCCCUGUGAUGCACUGGCAGGGCCGGCAAAGAGGAAGAAGACCCGCUCCCUUCCCUUUGAAGUUCAAAGUACACGACAGCCUGGUUUGGCGUCAAGGACCUAUCUAAGUCCUGUCCUGGGUCGUGCCCCCUCCAGCCUGGACAAGCCCCAACCUCCCUGAUCCUCACAGACAUCAUCUACAAACGGGAACACGAAGACUUGAGUGCCAUGCCCAGGAGCUGGACACUCAGAAGGUGGCAGUGGACAGGUGCCCGCACGCCAGCACUUAGGGGCUGUGUGAUUCACUCCAGCCAGAGGCCCUGAUGUGGGUGGAUUCAGAGAGCACGAGGCCCGGGUCUCUGGAGGUCCCUUUCCAAGGCUGGCCCAGUGGAACAUUUGCCAACAGCAGAGCCAGCGUGUCUUCUCGCUGCCUCCUAGCCCUGCCGCUCCCCAGGCUGAGCACCCUGUGUGCUUAAACAGUCAUCCGCUUGCCAAGGGUCCCCAGGGAAACCCUCCCGCCUCCCUCGCCCCCGCCUAGGGUACUUUCUAGGUCUCUUCUGUUCCCCACCCCGAUAAAACCCUUUCCAUCUCUGGAGCUGCCGAGGGCAGAAUCGGGCCAGUGAACACAGGCAGCCAGGGAACAGAGCUCGGGGCCGCAUGGCAGGUCCUGGUGACCCCACAGGGCAGGCAGUGAGUUCCCCUCUUUGGAGGUGUUUAUGCCGAGCAGUCGACCACGUGACCAGCGUGUCAGAGAGUUGAGCCCACUUCUGGAGAGCUGAACGAGCUGAACGAGCUGAACUCAGGGGCCUCUUCCAACCCAGAGUGUCCCUGUUUUCUUCAAAAUUAAUUUCUACUAACUUAUUUUUUUUUACCAAAGUAAUAAAAGAACGGAGUUCAAAAAGAAAAAUGUGGGGCUUCCCUGGUGGCACAGUGGUUAAGGAUCCGCCUGCCAACGCAGGGGACACGGGUUCGAGCCCUGGUCCAGGAAGAUCUCACAUGCCGCAGAACAACUGGGCCUGCGUGCCACAACUACUGAGCCUGUGUGCCACAACUACUGAGCCUGCAUGCCAUAACUACUGAAGCUCGCACGCCUAGAGCCCGUGCUCCUCAACAAGAGAAGCCACUGCAAUGAGAAGCCUGCGCACCGCAACAAAGAGUAGCCCCUGCUCGCCACAACUACAGAAAGGCCGUGCGCAGCAAAGAGGACCCAACGCAGCCAAAAAUAAAUAAAUAAAAAAUUUUUUUAAAAAAGAAAAAUGUGGCACCCCAAUGUUCACUGCAGCACUAUUUACAAUAGCCAAGACAUGGAAGCAACCUAAGGGUCCAUCGACAGAUGAAUGGGUAAAGAAGAUGUGGUACAUAUAUACACUGGAAUAUUACUCAGCCCCUAAAGAGAAUAAAAUAAUGCCAUUUGCAGCAACAUGGAUGGACCUGGAAAUUAUCACACUAAGUGAAGUAAGUCAGAAAAAGACCAAUAUUAUAUGAUAUCACUUAUAUGUGGAAUCUAAAAAAUAGUACAAAUGAACUUAUUUUCAAAACAGAAACAGACUCACAGACAUAGAAAAUAAACUUGUGGUUACCAAGGGGGAAGCUGGGGUGGGGAAGUAUAAAUUAGGAAUUUAGAAUCAGCAAAUACAAACUACUAUAUAUAAAAUAGGUAAAGAACAAGGAUUUACUGUAUCUCACAGGGA